UAAACUAGGAUUAGAUACCCUAUUAUUAUAAAUGUAAAUUUUAAAUACUUAGUUAGUAUUAGUUAUGAUCUUGAAAAUUAAAAAAUUUGGCGGUAUUUUAGUCUUUUCAGAGGAACCUGCCCUAUGAUUGAUAGUCCACGAUUAUAUUUACUUAAGUUUUAAAUUUACAUAUCGUCGUAGUUUAAAUAUUUUAAUAGAAUUUUAAUAUUUAUAAUUUUUUAUUUAAAAAUAAAUCAGAUCAAGGUGUAGUUUAUAUUUAAGAAGAGGUGGGUUACAUUAAAUUUAUUUAAGGAUAAUUUUUUUAAAAUUAAUUUGAAUUUGGAUUUGAUAGUAAUUUUUUAAUAUUUAUUAAAAAUGAUUAUAGCUCUAAAAUAUGCACACAUCGCCCGUCGCUCUUAA
rnacentral:rRNA from 1 species